AAAAAAAAAAAAAAAAAGAAAGAAAGAAAAAAAAUAUCAAGGGAAGGCGAGCAAAUGGUUUGGGAUCUGACAGUCCACUUCACAUCCCUCUCAAAAUCACUUAAGAAGUACCUAAACAGUGGGAGAUUAAGUUUGAGUUUCCCUUUGUGUAUGGAAUGGACCCAAACUUACGUAGAUCUGCUUUAUUGCUGGAAUUCCCGACCCUUCUGAAGUGAGAACACAGCGGGGGUUUCCCUACCGAGGGACUUAUUGCAGCCAUAAAGUCAAGCCAACACCACGAAAACACUUGAAAUAACCCCUUGUUCCUGGAGUCAGACAUAGAAAGCCAUUGGCAGCAGAGAAGCCUCCUCUGUAACGCUCAUGCACACCCAAAAUCACCUCGGGAAAAAAAACAAAAACAAAACCACAACAAAACAACACCCGACGAAGCCAUGUAGAGCUCCAGGGUUGGAGUAUUUGAAACAAUGAUCCCUGAAGGUGUAAAAAAAUACCCGCUCUCUCCGCGCAUAACCGCCUGAAACUUAAUUUCCAGCAAUUUAAGUUUAAUUUACCUGACUUCCCGUGCAGUGCAUAAUAACCUUGUUAAUGGGAUCUUUGAAAAGAAGCAAUAAUAAUCUACCAUUGUUCCAUUAAAGAGUGCAGCUAAUUAUUAACAACAAAAAAAA